rnacentral:other from 1 species
UAUUUCCUGCUUUGUGCGUUACUUGAUGAUUUUUAAACCCACAGUGCAUUUUCGGGAAUUGGCCUUAAGCUGCGUAUACCAGGCCGCAUGGAUACAUAGCGGAAGGUAGAAACAUUUUAGCCGAUACCCACCUGCGAGAAGCGGGUAUUUUAAAAACGUUAAGCUGACGGCAAAGCGGGUUAACA